GACAGAGGGUGCAAACGUUGUUCGGAAUCACUGGGCGUAAAGCGCGUGUAGGCGGUCGGGAAAGUCGGAUGUGAAAUCCCACGGCUCAACCAUGGAAGUGCAUUCGAAACUGCCCAACUAGAGUCCUGGAGAGGAAGGUGGAAUACUCGGUGUAGAGGUGAAAUUCGUAGAUAUCGAGUGGAACACCGGUGGCGAAGGCGGCCUUCUGGACAGUGACUGACGCUGAAACGCGAAAGCGUGGGGAGCAAAC
rnacentral:rRNA from 1 species